rnacentral:rRNA from 1 species
UACGUAGGGGGGCAAGCGUUGUCCGGAAUCAUUGGGCGUAAAGAGCGUGUAGGCGGCCCGAUAAGUCCGCUGUGAAAGUCCAGGGCUCAACCUCGGGUCUGCAGUCGAUACGAGCAAACUAGAGUGUUGCAGGGGAGACUGGAAUUCCCGGUGUAGCGGUGAAAUGCGCAGAUAUCAGGAGGAACACCGGUGGCGAAGGCGGCUCUUUGGUCUGUAACUGACGCUGAGACACGAAAGCCAGGGGAGCAAACGGG